rnacentral:rRNA from 1 species
GAUGAACGCUGGCGGCGUGCCUAAUACAUGCAAGUCGAGCGAACAGACCAGGAUCUUGCUCCUCUGACGUUAGCGACGGACGGGUAAGUAACACGUGGAUAACCUACCUAUAAGACUGGGAUAACUUCGGGAAACCGGAGCUAAUACCGGAUAAUAUAUUUACCCGCAUGGUUCAAUAAUGAAACACGGUUUUGCUGUCACCUCUAGAUGGAUCCGCGCGGCAGUAGCUAGUUGGUAAGGUAACGGCUUACCAAGGCAACGAUGCGUAGCCGACCUGAGAGGGUGAUCGGCCACACUGGAAGUGAGACACCGUCCAGACUCCUACGGGAGGCAGCAGUAGGGAAUCUAGCGCGAGGGGCGAAAGCUUGACGGAGCAACGCCGCGUGAAUGAUGAAGUGCUUCGGAUCGUAAAACGCUGUUAUUAGGGAAAAACAAUUGUGUAAGUAACUAUGCACGUUUUGACGGUACCUAAUCAAAAAGCCACGGCUAACUACGUG